rnacentral:rRNA from 1 species
AACGAACGCUGGCGGCAUGCCUAACACAUGCAAGUCGAACGAAAACUUCGGGUCUUGUGGCGCACGGGUGCGUAAGGCGGGGGAACCUACCCGUAGGUACGGAAUCACUCCCCGAAAGGGGUGCUAAUACAGGAUAAUCUCUUCUGACCAAAGAUUUAUUGCCCCUGGAUGGGCGCGGGUUGGAUUCGAUGGUUGGUAGGGUAAAAGCAUACCACGGGGAUGAUCCAUAGAUGGUCUGAGAGGAUGAUCAGCGACACUGGGGGUAGGACACGGCCCAGAAUCUUACGCAAGGGGGGAGAGGGUGAUAUAGGACAGUGGGGGGAAGGCUGAAGCAGCAAGGCCGGGAAAGUGAUGAUGGCCGUAGCGAAGAAAAGUUCUUUUACCCGGGAUGGUAAUGACGGUACCGGGAGAAUAAGCACCGGCUAACUACGUG